rnacentral:rRNA from 1 species
UUGGAGGGCAAGUCUGGUGCCAGCAGCCGCGGUAAUUCCAGCUCCAAUAGCGUAUAUUAAAGUUGUUGCAGUUAAAAAGCUCGUAGUUGAAUUUCGGGAUUGACGUGAUGGUCAUGCCUUAAGGGGUAUGAACUGUUGCAGUUGAUUUCUCACCUUCUGGAGAAACUUGAUGUCCUUUAUUGGGUGUCUUGCGGAUCCAGGACCUUUACCUUGAAAAAAUUAGAGUGUUUAAAGCAGGCAUUUUUGCUCGAAUACAUUAGCAUGGAAUAAUAGAAUAGGACGGCAUGGUUCUAUUUUGUUGGUUUCUAGGAUCACCGUAAUGAUUAAUAGGGAUAGUUGGGGGCAUUAGUAUUCAAUUGUCAGAGGUGAAAUUCUUGGAUUUAUUGAAGACUAACUACUGCGAAAGCAUUUGCCAAGGAUUUUUUCAUUAAUCAAGAACGAAAGUUAGGGGAUCGAAGACGAUCAGAUACCGUCGUAGUCUUAACCAUAAACUAUGCCGACUAGGAAUCAGACGAUGUUAAUUUUUUAAUGACUCGUUUGGCACCUUACGGGAAACCAAAGUGUUUGGGUUC